rnacentral:rRNA from 1 species
CCUACGGGUGGCAGCAGUGGGGAAUAUUGGGCAAUGGGCGCAAGCCUGACCCAGCAACGCCGCGUGAAGGAUGAAGGCUUUCGGGUUGUAAACUUCUUUUAAGGGGGAAGAGCAGAAGACGGUACCUCUUGAAUAAGCCACGGCGAACUACGUGCCAGCAGCCGCGGUAAUAAGUAGGUGGCAAGCGUUGUCCGGAAUUACUGGGGGUAAAGGGCGUGCAACCGGGCUGACAAGUCAGAUGUGAAAUCCCGUGGCUCAACCACGGAACUGCAUUUGAAACUGGCGGUCUUGAGUAUCGGAGAGGCAGGCGGAAUUCCUAGUGUAGCGGUGAAAUGCGUAGAUAUGAGGAGGAACACCAGUGGCGAAGGCGGCCUGCUGGACGACAACUGACGGUGAGGCGCGAAAGCGUGGGGAGCAAACAGGAUUAGAUACCCCUGUAGUC